AACGAACGCUGGCGGCAGGCUUAACACAUGCAAGUCGAACGCAUCGCAAGAUGAGUGGCAGACGGGUGAGUAACGCGUGGGAACAUACCCUUUUCUACGGAAUAGCUCUGGGACACUGGAAUUAAUACCGUAUACGCCCUACGGGGGAAAGAUUUAUCGGGGAAGGAUUGGCCCGCGUUGGAUUAGCUAGUUGGUGGGGUAAAGGCCUACCAAGGCGACGCUCUAUCGCUGGUCUGAGAGGAUGAUCAGCCACAUUGGGACUGGAACACGGCCCAGACUCCUGCGGGAUGCAGCAGUAGGGAAUUGUGCACAAUGGGCGAAAGCCUGAUGGAGCAACGCCGCGUGCAGGAUGAAUGCCUUCGGGUUGUAAACUGCUUUUAUAUGUGACGACUAUGACGGUAGCAUAUGAAUAAGGAUCGGCUAACUCCGUGCCAGCCGCCGCAGUAA
rnacentral:rRNA from 1 species